CCCGCCCGUCACACCAUGGGAGUCAGUUGCUCCAGAAGUCACUGUGCCAACCGCAAGGAGGCAGGUGCCCAAGGAGUGACUGGUAACUGGGGUG
rnacentral:rRNA from 1 species